rnacentral:rRNA from 1 species
UUAAGCGACUAAGCGUACACGGUGGAUGCCCUGGCAGUCAGAGGCGAUGAAGGACGUGCUAAUCUGCGAAAAGCGUCGGUAAGGUGAUAUGAACCGUUACAGCCGGCGAUGUCCGAAUGGGGAAACCCAGUGCAAUUCGUUGCACUAUCGUUAACUGAAUACAUAGGUUAACGAGGCGAACCGGGGGAACUGAAACAUCUAAGUACCCCGAGGAAAAGAAAUCAACCGAGAUUCCCCCAGUAGCGGCGAGCGAACGGGGAGCAGCCCAGAGUCUGAAUCAGCUUGUGUGUUAGUGGAACGGUCUGGAAAGUCCGACGGUACAGGGUGAUAGUCCCGUACACCAAAAUGCACAGGCUGUGAACUCGAAGAGUAGGGCGGGACACGUGGUAUCCUGUCUGAAUAUGGGGGGACCAUCCUCCAAGGCUAAAUACUCCUGACUGACCGAUAGUGAACCAGUACCGUGAGGGAAAGGCGAAAAGAACCCCGGCGAGGGGAGUGAAAAAGAACCUGAAACCGUGUACGUACAAGCAGUGGGAGCACCUUCGGGUGUGACUGCGUACCUUUUGUAUAAUGGGUCAGCGACUUAUAUUCUGUAGCAAGGUUAACCGUAUAGGGGAGCCGCAGGGAAACCGAGUCUUAACUGGGCGUUAAGUUGCAGGGUAUAGACCCGAAACCCGGUGAUCUAGCCAUGGGCAGGUUGAAGGUUGGGUAACACUAACUGGAGGACCGAACCGACUAAUGUUGAAAAAUUAGCGGAUGACUUGUGGCUGGGGGUGAAAGGCCAAUCAAACCGGGAGAUAGCUGGUUCUCCCCGAAAGCUAUUUAGGUAGCGCCUCGUGAACUCAUCUUCGGGGGUAGAGCACUGUUUCGGCUAGGGGGUCAUCCCGACUUACCAACCCGAUGCAAACUACGAAUACCGAAGAAUGUUAUCACGGGAGACACACGGCGGGUGCUAACGUCCGUCGUGAAGAGGGAAACAACCCAGACCGCCAGCUAAGGUCCCAAAGUCAUGGUUAAGUGGGAAACGAUGUGGGAAGGCACAGACAGCCAGGAUGUUGGCUUAGAAGCAGCCAUCAUUUAAAGAAAGCGUAAUAGCUCACUGGUCGAGUCGGCCUGCGCGGAAGAUGUAACGGGGCUAAACCAUGCACCGAAGCUGCGGCAGCGACACUAUGUGUUGUUGGGUAGGGGAGCGUUCUGUAAGCCUGCGAAGGUGUGCUGUGAGGCAUGCUGGAGGUAUCAGAAGUGCGAAUGCUGACAUAAGUAACGAUAAAGCGGGUGAAAAGCCCGCUCGCCGGAAGACCAAGGGUUCCUGUCCAACGUUAAUCGGGGCAGGGUGAGUCGACCCCUAAGGCGAGGCCGAAAGGCGUAGUCGAUGGGAAACAGGUUAAUAUUCCUGUACUUGGUGUUACUGCGAAGGGGGGACGGAGAAGGCUAUGUUAGCCGGGCGACGGUUGUCCCGGUUUAAGCAUGUAGGCUGGUUAUCCAGGCAAAUCCGGAUAAUCAAGGCUGAGGUGUGAUGACGAGGCACUACGGUGCUGAAGUAACAAAUGCCCUGCUUCCAGGAAAAGCCUCUAAGCAUCAGGUAACAUCAAAUCGUACCCCAAACCGACACAGGUGGUCAGGUAGAGAAUACCAAGGCGCUUGAGAGAACUCGGGUGAAGGAACUAGGCAAAAUGGUGCCGUAACUUCGGGAGAAGGCACGCUGGUGUGUAGGUGAAGUCCCUGCGGAUGGAGCUGAGACCAGUCGAAGAUACCAGCUGGCUGCAACUGUUUAUUAAAAACACAGCACUGUGCAAACACGAAAGUGGACGUAUACGGUGUGACGCCUGCCCGGUGCCGGAAGGUUAAUUGAUGGGGUUAUCCGUAAGGAGAAGCUCUUGAUCGAAGCCCCGGUAAACGGCGGCCGUAACUAUAACGGUCCUAAGGUAGCGAAAUUCCUUGUCGGGUAAGUUCCGACCUGCACGAAUGGCGUAAUGAUGGCCAGGCUGUCUCCACCCGAGACUCAGUGAAAUUGAACUCGCUGUGAAGAUGCAGUGUACCCGCGGCAAGACGGAAAGACCCCGUGAACCUUUACUAUAGCUUGACACUGAACAUUGAGCCUUGAUGUGUAGGAUAGGUGGGAGGCUUUGAAGCGUGGACGCCAGUCUGCGUGGAGCCAACCUUGAAAUACCACCCUUUAAUGUUUGAUGUUCUAACGUUGGCCCCUGACCGGGGUUGCGGACAGUGUCUGGUGGGUAGUUUGACUGGGGCGGUCUCCUCCCAAAGCGUAACGGAGGAGCACGAAGGUUAGCUAAUCCUGGUCGGACAUCAGGAGGUUAGUGCAAUGGCAUAAGCUAGCUUGACUGCGAGCGUGACGGCGCGAGCAGGUGCGAAAGCAGGUCAUAGUGAUCCGGUGGUUCUGAAUGGAAGGGCCAUCGCUCAACGGAUAAAAGGUACUCCGGGGAUAACAGGCUGAUACCGCCCAAGAGUUCAUAUCGACGGCGGUGUUUGGCACCUCGAUGUCGGCUCAUCACAUCCUGGGGCUGAAGUAGGUCCCAAGGGUAUGGCUGUUCGCCAUUUAAAGUGGUACGCGAGCUGGGUUUAGAACGUCGUGAGACAGUUCGGUCCCUAUCUGCCGUGGGCGCUGGAGAAUUGAGGGGGGCUGCUCCUAGUACGAGAGGACCGGAGUGGACGCAUCACUGGUGUUCGGGUUGUCAUGCCAAUGGCACUGCCCGGUAGCUAAAUGCGGAAGAGAUAAGUGCUGAAAGCAUCUAAGCACGAAACUUGCCCCGAGAUGAGUUCUCCCUGAGACUUUAAGUCUCCUGAAGGAACGUUGAAGACGACGACGUUGAUAGGCCGGGUGUGUAAGCGCAGCGAUGCGUUGAGCUAACCGGUACUAAUGAACCGUGAGGCUUAACCUU